GCUGGGCAUGGUGGUGUGUGCCUGUAAUCUCAGCUACUUGGGAGGCUGAGGCAGGAGAAUUGCUUGAACCCAGGAAGCAGAGGCUGUAGUGAGCCGAGAUCGUGCCACUGCACUCCAGCCUGGGUGACAGAGCAAGACUCUGUCUCAA
ensembl:misc_RNA Metazoa_SRP Metazoan signal recognition particle RNA